rnacentral:rRNA from 1 species
AGCAGCCGCGGUAAUUCCAGCUCCAAUAGCGUAUAUUAAAGUUGUUGCAGCUAAAAAGCUCGUAGUUGAAUUUCGGGGUCAGUAGGUCGGUCGUGCCACUGGUAUGAACUGGUUUCACUGAUUCUUCCCUCUUGUAGAACCGUGAUGCCAUUAAUUUGGUGUUGCGGGGAAACAGGACUGUUACUUUGAAAAAUUAGAGUGUUUAAAGCAAGCUAACGCUUGAAUACAUUAGCAUGGAAUAAUGAAAUAGGACGUCUGUCUUAUUUUGUUGGUUUCUAGGAUGGACGUAAUGAUUAAUAGGGAUAGUUGGGGCAUUAGUAUUCAAUUGUCAGAGGUGAAAUUCUUGGAUUUAUUGAAGACUAACUACUGCGAAAGCAUUUGCCAAGGAUGUUUUCAUUAAUCAAGAACGAAAGUUAGGGGAUCGAAGACGAUCAGAUACCGUCGUAGUCUUAACCAUAAACUAUGACCGACUAGGGAUCGGAUGAUGUUAAUUUUUAAUG